GAUGGAGGGGGAUAACUACUGGAAACGGUAGCUAAUACCGCAUAACGUCGCAAGACCAAAGAGGGGGACCUUAGGGCCUCUUGCCAUCGGAUGUGCCCAGAUGGGAUUAGCUAGUAGGUGGGGUAAAGGCUCACCUAGGCGACGAUCCCUAGCUGGUCUGAGAGGAUGACCAGCCACACUGGAACUGAGACACGGUCCAGACUCCUACGGGAGGCAGCAGUGGGGAAUAUUGCACAAUGGGCGCAAGCCUGAUGCAGCCAUGCCGCGUGUAUGAAGAAGGCCUUCGGGUUGUAAAGUACUUUCAGCGGGGAGGAAGGGAGUAAAGUUAAUACCUUUGCUCAUUGACGUUACCCGCAGAAGAAGCACCGGCUAACUCCGUGCCAGCAGCCGCGGUAAUACGGAGGGUGCAAGCGUUAAUCGGAAUUACUGGGCGUAAAGCGCACGCAGGCGGUUUGUUAAGUCAGAUGUGAAAUCCCCGGGCUCAACCUGGGAACUGCAUCUGAUACUGGCAAGCUUGAGUCUCGUAGAGGGGGGUAGAAUUCCAGGUGUAGCGGUGAAAUGCGUAGAGAUCUGGAGGAAUACCGGUGGCGAAGGCGGCCCCCUGGACGAAGACUGACGCUCAGGUGCGAAAGCGUGGGGAGCAAACAGGAUUAGAUACCCUGGUAGUCCACGCCGUAAACGAUGUCGACUUGGAGGUUGUGCCCUUGAGGCGUGGCUUCCGGAGCUAACGCGUUAAGUCGACCGCCUGGGGAGUACGGCCGCAAGGUUAAAACUCAAAUGAAUUGACGGGGGCCCGCACAAGCGGUGGAGCAUGUGGUUUAAUUCGAUGCAACGCGAAGAACCUUACCUGGUCUUGACAUCCACGGAAGUUUUCAGAGAUGAGAAUGUGCCUUCGGGAACCGUGAGACAGGUGCUGCAUGGCUGUCGUCAGCUCGUGUUGUGAAAUGUUGGGUUAAGUCCCGCAACGAGCGCAACCCUUAUCCUUUGUUGCCAGCGGUCCGGCCGGGAACUCAAAGGAGACUGCCAGUGAUAAACUGGAGGAAGGUGGGGAUGACGUCAAGUCAUCAUGGCCCUUACGACCAGGGCUACACACGUGCUACAAUGGCGCAUACAAAGAGAAGCGACCUCGCGAGAGCAAGCGGACCUCAUAAAGUGCGUCGUAGUCCGGAUUGGAGUCUGCAACUCGACUCCAUGAAGUCGGAAUCGCUAGUAAUCGUGGAUCAGAAUGCCACGGUGAAUACGUUCCCGGGCCUUGUACACACCGCCCGUCACACCAUGGGAGUGGGUUGCAAAAGAAGUAGGUAGCUUAACCUUCGGGAGGGCGCUUACCACUUUGUGAUUCAUGACUGGGGUGAAGUCGUAACAAGGUAACCGUAGGGGAACCUGCGGUUGGAUCACCUCCUUACCUUAAAGAAGC
rnacentral:rRNA from 1 species